AUGUGAACUACCUGGGGAUCUUGUUAAAACACAGAUGCUAACUCAGGAUGUCUGGAGUAUGGCCCGAGAUCUGCAUUUCUAACAAGCUCCAAAAUGCUAUUGAU
rnacentral:pre_miRNA from 1 species